ensembl:lncRNA
GAGUCGUAGUGGUCAAGGGUGAAAAUGUCAGGUCGUAGUGGUCAAGGGUGAAAAUGUCAGGUCGUAGUGGUGUAUGGUGAAAAUGUCAGGUCGUAGUGGUCAAGGGUGAAAAUGUCAGGUCGUAGUGGUGUAUGGUGAAAAUGUCAGGUCGUAGUGGUCAAGGGUGAAAAUGUCAGGCUGUAGUGGUCUGUGGUGAAAAUGUCAGGCUGUAGUGGUCUGUGGUGAAAAUGUCAGGCUGUAGUGGUGUAUGGUGAAAAUGUCAGGCUGUAGUGGUCUGUGGUGAAAAUGUCAGGUCGUAGUGGUCAAGGGUGAAAAUGUCAGGCUGUAGUGGUGUAUGGUGAAAAUGUCAGGUCGUAGUGGUCAAGGGUGAAAAUGUCAGGCUGUAGUGGUCUGUGGUGAAAAUGUCAGGUCGUAGUGGUGGGAGUGUUUGAACAGACACAAUUCUAGUGACAAACUGUCUGGAGAUUACAGCCCCACCCGUCAAGCGCGAAAACAACCGUGUUCUUGCAAAGUAAAGAAUGAGGGGAAAAAAAUAAAAUGGCCGAGUGUUGGCUCUGGUAGAGAACGAAACAAACAUCAUGUUCAGGCAUGGUCCUAUAGAGAAGUAGUCAUCUUAAUAAACACUGAAGUGUUCACUACAAUAAACAUGAGUCAUUCUCUCUCUCUUCCUCUUUCUUCCAGAUCUUCUGGUUUGUCCUUUAUUUCUCCUCGGGAAGUGAUCACGAGUGCUGGAAUUAACCCUCUUUCACUGUGCUGCUUGGAACGGACUGCCACAC